AGGAGGGCUCGGGUGCGGGCAGGUCUGCCUGCCUGGAUGUGCGGAGCGGCUGCAGGCACGGCAAGGCGUGACCUGCAUGGAAAAUGCCAGACAGCUCCAGACGUAGCACACACACAUAGGCGAACACACGCUCGCAAAUCUCCGGACAGAGAUAAGGCGGACGGCGGAGCGCUGGGAAAGAGGAGAAGCCGUCCCCAGCAAGCGAGCCGUCAAUCCUCCGCACCGAAUCCGCCGGGAAACUGUCCCAGCAGGAAAAUGAGGUCCCCCCUGGCCUGGCCCCUCUGUGCCUUGCUGCUCUGCGUGGCAGAUGCCGUGGAGCUGACAGACAUGUUCGGGGAGAUCCAGUCUCCCAACUUCCCUGACUCCUAUCCCAGCGACUCGGAAAUGACGUGGAACAUCUCUGUGCCUGAUGGAUUUAAAAUCAAGCUGUACUUCAUGCAUUUUGACUUGGAGUCAUCCUACCUCUGUGAAUACGACUAUGUGAAGAUUGAAACUGAGGACCAGGAGCUGGCAACCUUCUGUGGCAGGGAGACAACAGACACAGAGCAGGCUCCAGGACAGCAAGUGAUCCUGUCCCCAGGGCCCUACAUGGGGCUCACCUUCAGGUCUGAUUUCUCCAAUGAGGAACGCUUCACCGGCUUCGAUGCCCAUUACACCGCUGUGGAUGUGGAUGAGUGCCUGGAGAAGAGUGAUGAGGAGCUGGCUUGUGACCACUACUGCCACAACUACAUUGGCGGGUACUACUGCUCCUGCAGGUUCGGCUACAUCCUCCACUCUGACAACAGGACCUGCAAAGUGGAGUGCAGUGACAACCUCUACACCCAGAGGAGCGGGGUGAUCACCAGCGCCGACUUCCCCAGCCCCUACCCCAAGAGCUCGGACUGCCUGUACCGGAUUGAGCUGGAGGAGGGUUUCUUCAUCACCCUCAACUUCGAGGACAGCUUUGAUGUGGAAGACCACCCCGAGGUGACCUGUCCAUAUGACCACAUCAAGAUAAAAGCAGGCCAAAAGGAGUUUGGACCUUUCUGUGGAGAAAAGUCCCCAGGACGCAUUGAAACCCAAACCAACAGCGUGCAGAUCCGCUUCCACAGUGACAACUCUGGAGAGAACAGGGGCUGGAGGUUGUCAUACACAGCAAUUGGAAACCCGUGCCCACUGCUGCAACCACCGAUCAACGGGAAAAUUGAGCCUUCUCAAGCCAAGUACACCUUCAAAGACCAGGUUGUCAUCAGCUGCAACACUGGAUACAAAGUGCUGAAGGAUGAUGUGGAAAGUGACUCCUUCCAGAUCGAGUGUCUGAAAGAUGGCACAUGGAGUAACAAGAUCCCUAUCUGCAAAAUUGCUGACUGCAAAGCGCCGCCGGAGCUGGAGCAUGGCUUUGUCACCUUCUCCACCAGCAACAACCUGACCACCUACCAAGCAGCCAUCCAGUACCACUGCCAGCACCCCUACUACCACAUGGCCCCCAACAGCACCGCCACCUACACGUGCGAUGCAUUGGGGCAGUGGAGGAGUGAGGAGCUGGGCACCAAGCUGCCAUCCUGCCGACCAGUGUGCGGCCGGCCGGCUCGGCCCCUGCCUGGCAUCAUCAAGCGCAUCAUCGGCGGGCGGAACGCGGAGCCCGGCUUCUUCCCCUGGCAGGCCCUGAUCGUGGUGGAGGACAUGUCCCGCGUGCCCAACGACAAGUGGUUCGGCAGCGGGGCCCUGCUCUCGGAGUCCUGGGUGCUGACGGCCGCCCACGUGCUGCGGUCCCAGCGGCGGGACAAGACCAUCAUCCCCGUCUCCAAGGAGCACGUCACCGUCUAUCUGGCCCUUCACGACGUGAGGAACAAGAUGGAGGCUGUCAACAGGACAGUGGAGAGGAUCAUCCUCCAUGAGGAGUUUGACAUCCAGAACUACAACCAUGACAUCGCGCUGGUCAAGCUGAAGGAGAAGGUGACCAUGGGCAAGUAUGUCAUGCCUGUGUGCCUGCCCCAGUUUGAGCACGAGCUGGAAGGGCCUCACCCCAACACACUGGGGCUGGUGGCUGGCUGGGGCAUCUCCAACCCCAACAUCACAGUGGAUGAGAUCAUCAGCUCAGGCAUGAGGACCCUGUCUGACAUCCUGCAGUACGUCAAACUGCCCGUGGUGCUGCACGCCGAGUGCAAGACCAGCUACGAGUCGCGCUCAGGCAACUACAGCGUGACCGAGAACAUGUUCUGCGCCGGCUACUAUGAGGGGGGGAAGGACACUUGUCUGGGAGACAGCGGGGGUGCCUUCGUCAUCCAGGACCCGGGAACGCGGAGGUGGGUGGCCCAAGGGCUGGUCUCAUGGGGUGGCCCGGAGGAGUGCGGCAGCAAGCAGGUGUACGGCGUGUACACCAAGGUCUCCAACUACGUGGACUGGGUGGAGCAGAAAACAGGCUCCUCAGAGAGAUGGACAUUUCUGGAGCCAGAGCUGGAGAGAUGAGUGACUAAGCAGCCUGCUGCCACCGCGGCUCCCUUUCUUCUUGUUGUUAUUGUUUAAUGUGCUCCAGACUCGGGUCUUUCGCAAGCAAUAGCCACGACACUCCACGCACGCCAAGCCCCUGCCAGGUCAUUUGUUUCGCUUGGUCCCGCAUCCCUUCGCCUGCGUUCUUAGGAAAUGCUUGCUAGGGAGCUGGAGGGAGGGGGCGAAGGACAAGAUCUCAGCUGGUGUCCUCUGCAUGUGCUGCCCAUCUGCAAGCCUCACCCACACUCCAGGGAACUUCCCUCCAAGCCAGGAAAAAGGCACAGCAAUUGAGGCAGGGUUUGCCUGACACCAGAGCUUUGUGCCACGCACAGGGAAUUGUCCCCACUCCCAGGACUCUCCAGCCAGAUCUCUCCAUCAGAAGAUGCAACUACAGAGUUUUAAAACCUAUGGACAGUGCAGGAAACCCAUGUGGGCAGGCCUGGGCCUCACAGGGUCCCCAUGGUGGUGAACCCCUUUUCUGUGCAAGGAGUAGUGAGAGAGUCCUGGGAGUUUGCCAUUUUUUUUAUAUACAAAGAAACAUCCCUUCCUGGUGGCAUCUCAGGUGACAUCCACCUGACCCCAAGGAGGUGAGGAUGCAUCCACAUUUAGCCCCAAACUUCAGCCAUGGCUGCCAAGACAGCACCAACCCAAACAGGACACCUGUGUCCCACCAUGUGGAAUGAGUGACCCACAGAGGACACGAGGACAUGGAACAGGGUUUAUACUGACCCUGACCUCCAGCCUUCUCCAGUCCCACCCCAAGAUUAGCUCUGUGCUUUUCAGCCACAGCAGACCCCCCAAGGAAAGUUUUUCUUUACAGGACAGCUUCCCAUUGACUGCAUCUAAGCAAUACUUAUUUUAAGCAGAAUCAUUUUGUACAAAAUACCCUUGUUUGGCUUUUAUCUCUUUCUCAGGGGCCUCGUUAGUCCUGUAUGACUGUUUAUUCAUUCUUGCAAGAACCUAGUCCAUUUUAACUGCUUUUGAGGCCACUGAGUUAGCUGAUUUAAAGGUUACCAGUGGUGUUUAGUGUUUGUUCAUGGCUCUGGUGGCCUAUUGCAGGUGUCCAAGUCCUUCUAGACUGACUCAAACCCACCUAACACAUCAGAAGUAUUCAUAUCUCCCCAGCUCCCCUCCACGGCCCAUACAGACAAGUCCCAACAAGGAACCAGGUCAGGUGAGCUGCCCUUCCUUCAGCAGGGACACUUUCUCCUUCACUUGCCAGCAAAGUCCUCCCAAAGGUGUAAGCAACAUGCAAAAAUUGCCUGCUGUGCUCUAGCCUCUUUCAGGCCUCUCUUUCUCCUCCUCCUCCUUUGGUUUUUCCAUGAAGGGAAGAAGCCAACAGACAUUUUGCUAUCAUCCAAGAAGCCAUUUGUAGAACUUGUUGAGGAGCAGAAGGCCUAAGAAAGGUCGAACUUGCAGAUACACUAUGAACUGUACUCUUGGCUA